rnacentral:rRNA from 1 species
CCUACGGGCGGCAGCAGUGGGGAAUAUUGCACAAUGGGGGAAACCCUGAUGCAGCGACGCCGCGUGAGGGAAGAAGUAUUUCGGUAUGUAAAGCUCUAUCAGCAGGGAAGAAAAUGACGGUAUUGGAUUAAGAAGGCACGGCUAACUACGUGCCAGCAGCCGCGGUAAUACGUAGGGGGCAAGCGGUAGCCGGAUGUACUGGGUGAAAAGGGAGCGGAAACGGCAGCACCAGGCGGGAGUGAAAUGCCGGGGCUUUACCCCGGAACUGCUUGUGCAACGGUGCAGCUAGAGUGCAGGAGCGGUCAGUGGCCUUCCUCGUGUAGCGGUGCCAUGCGUCGAUAUUAG